rnacentral:rRNA from 1 species
GACGUAGGAGGCGAGCGUUGUCCGGAUUCAUUGGGCGUAAAGAGCACGCAGGCGGUUUGGCAAGUCGGAUGUGAAAACCCGGAGCUCAACUCCGGACCUGCAUCCGAAACUGCCCGACUAGAGGUAGGUAGGGGAGAUCGGAAUUCCUGGUGUAGCGGUGAAAUGCGCAGAUAUCAGGAGGAACACCGGUGGCGAAGGCGGGUCUCUGGGCAGUGAACUGACGCUGGAGGAGCGAAAGCGUGGGGAGCGAACAGG